GCAUUGGUUGUAUAGUGGUGAGCAUAGCUGCCUUCCAAGCAGUUGACCUGGGUUCGAUUCCCAGCCAAUGCA
rfam:Chelonia mydas contig170066, whole genome shotgun sequence.